rnacentral:pre_miRNA from 1 species
UCCUCGCCCCCGGGGUCCAGUUUUCCCAGGAAUCCCUUGGGCAAUCAACAACGGGGAUUCCUGGAAAUACUGUUCUUGGGGGUGUGGC